rnacentral:rRNA from 1 species
GGUUAAGCGACUAAGCGUACACGGUGGAUGCCCUGGCAGUCAGAGGCGAUGAAGGACGUGCUAAUCUGCGAUAAGCGCCGGUAAGGUGAUAUGAACCGUUAUAACCGGCGAUUUCCGAAUGGGGAAACCCAGUGUGACUCGUCACACUAUCAUUAACUGAAUCCAUAGGUUAAUGAGGCGAACCGGGGGAACUGAAACAUCUAAGUACCCCGAGGAAAAGAAAUCAACCGAGAUUCCCCCAGUAGCGGCGAGCGAACGGGGAGGAGCCCAGAGCCUGAAUCAGCAUGUGUGUUAGUGGAAGCGUCUGGAAAGGCGCGCGAUACAGGGUGACAGCCCCGUACACAAAAGCGCAUGUGCUGUGAGCUCGAUGAGUAGGGCGGGACACGUGGUAUCCUGUCUGAAUAUGGGGGGACCAUCCUCCAAGGCUAAAUACUCCUGACUGACCGAUAGUGAACCAGUACCGUGAGGGAAAGGCGAAAAGAACCCCGGCGAGGGGAGUGAAAAAGAACCUGAAACCGUGUACGUACAAGCAGUGGGAGCACAGGUUUACCUGUGUGACUGCGUACCUUUUGUAUAAUGGGUCAGCGACUUAUAUUCUGUAGCAAGGUUAACCGAAUAGGGGAGCCGGAGGGAAACCGAGUCUUAACCGGGCGUUAAGUUGCAGGGUAUAGACCCGAAACCCGGUGAUCUAGCCAUGGGCAGGUUGAAGGUUGGGUAACACUAACUGGAGGACCGAACCGACUAAUGUUGAAAAAUUAGCGGAUGACCUGUGGCUGGGGGUGAAAGGCCAAUCAAACCGGGAGAUAGCUGGUUCUCCCCGAAAGCUAUUUAGGUAGCGCCUCGUGAAUUCAUCUCCGGGGGUAGAGCACUGUUUCGGCUAGGGGGCCAUCCCGGCUUACCAACCCGAUGCAAACUGCGAAUACCGGAGAAUGUUAUCACGGGAGACACACGGCGGGUGCUAACGUCCGUCGUGAAGAGGGAAACAACCCAGACCGCCAGCUAAGGUCCCAAAGUCAUGGUUAAGUGGGAAACGAUGUGGGAAGGCCCAGACAGCCAGGAUGUUGGCUUAGAAGCAGCCAUCAUUUAAAGAAAGCGUAAUAGCUCACUGGUCGAGUCGGCCUGCGCGGAAGAUGUAACGGGGCUAAACCAUGCACCGAAGCUGCGGCAGCGAACGUAUCACUUAAAGCGAUUCAGCGGGUUACGAUUGACGGAGCGAAGCGACGUCAAAGCGUAUACAAAGUCGAGUCGGUUUAAGGAUACGUUCGUUGGGUAGGGGAGCGUUCUGUAAGCCUGUGAAGGUGGCCUGUGAGGGUUGCUGGAGGUAUCAGAAGUGCGAAUGCUGACAUAAGUAACGAUAAAGCGGGUGAAAAGCCCGCUCGCCGGAAGACCAAGGGUUCCUGUCCAACGUUAAUCGGGGCAGGGUGAGUCGACCCCUAAGGCGAGGCCGAAAGGCGUAGUCGAUGGGAAACGGGUUAAUAUUCCCGUACUUGGUGUUACUGCGAAGGGGGGACGGAGAAGGCUAUGUUGGCCGGGCGACGGUUGUCCCGGUUUAAGCGUGUAGGUGUGUGUUCCAGGUAAAUCCGGUUCACUUUAACACUGAGGCGUGAUGACGAGGCACUACGGUGCUGAAGCAACAAAUGCCCUGCUUCCAGGAAAAGCCUCUAAGCAUCAGGUAACAUCAAAUCGUACCCCAAACCGACACAGGUGGUCAGGUAGAGAAUACCAAGGCGCUUGAGAGAACUCGGGUGAAGGAACUAGGCAAAAUGGUGCCGUAACUUCGGGAGAAGGCACGCUGACACGUAGGUGAAGUGAUUUACUCAUGGAGCUGAAGUCAGUCGAAGAUACCAGCUGGCUGCAACUGUUUAUUAAAAACACAGCACUGUGCAAACACGAAAGUGGACGUAUACGGUGUGACGCCUGCCCGGUGCCGGAAGGUUAAUUGAUGGGGUCAGCGCAAGCGAAGCUCCUGAUCGAAGCCCCGGUAAACGGCGGCCGUAACUAUAACGGUCCUAAGGUAGCGAAAUUCCUUGUCGGGUAAGUUCCGACCUGCACGAAUGGCGUAAUGAUGGCCAGGCUGUCUCCACCCGAGACUCAGUGAAAUUGAACUCGCUGUGAAGAUGCAGUGUACCCGCGGCAAGACGGAAAGACCCCGUGAACCUUUACUAUAGCUUGACACUGAACAUUGAGCCUUGAUGUGUAGGAUAGGUGGGAGGCUUUGAAGCGUGGACGCCAGUCUGCGUGGAGCCAACCUUGAAAUACCACCCUUUAAUGUUUGAUGUUCUAACGUGGACCCGUAAUCCGGGUUGCGGACAGUGUCUGGUGGGUAGUUUGACUGGGGCGGUCUCCUCCUAAAGAGUAACGGAGGAGCACGAAGGUUGGCUAAUCCUGGUCGGACAUCAGGAGGUUAGUGCAAUGGCAUAAGCCAGCUUGACUGCGAGCGUGACGGCGCGAGCAGGUGCGAAAGCAGGUCAUAGUGAUCCGGUGGUUCUGAAUGGAAGGGCCAUCGCUCAACGGAUAAAAGGUACUCCGGGGAUAACAGGCUGAUACCGCCCAAGAGUUCAUAUCGACGGCGGUGUUUGGCACCUCGAUGUCGGCUCAUCACAUCCUGGGGCUGAAGUAGGUCCCAAGGGUAUGGCUGUUCGCCAUUUAAAGUGGUACGCGAGCUGGGUUUAGAACGUCGUGAGACAGUUCGGUCCCUAUCUGCCGUGGGCGCUGGAGAACUGAGGGGGGCUGCUCCUAGUACGAGAGGACCGGAGUGGACGCAUCACUGGUGUUCGGGUUGUCAUGCCAAUGGCACUGCCCGGUAGCUAAAUGCGGAAGAGAUAAGUGCUGAAAGCAUCUAAGCACGAAACUUGCCCCGAGAUGAGUUCUCCCUGAGACUUUAGGUCUCCUGAAGGAACGUUGAAGACGACGACGUUGAUAGGCCGGGUGUGUAAGCGCAGCGAUGCGUUGAGCUAACCGGUACUAAUGAACCGUGAGGCUUAACCUU